GGCGGGCACCUAUCUAAGGCUGGGUGGUUGGUAGAGAACCAGAGAAGGCUCCUGAAAGAGCUGAGCUUUGAAAGACCAAGGAGUUGUCAAGAUAAAGUAGAGAAGGUCUCUACACAAUUGCACAUCAGUUCAAGCAACUGCAUUAGCACAGGAGUGCCGAGUCGUUCCAAAGAGAGAAGAGUGAGCCAAUAGCUACAGCUGGCAGCCAGGGAAGGGAAAAUGUGCUCUGAGCACUCAGUGAGUCACCCAAACAGACAGGAGGAAGCAUGUGCCAAUUGAGCCUGGAGGCUGCGCCAGAGCUCACACACUCAGCAAGGUCAGGAUUUGAAUAGAAGUGCCUCCAAGAAGAGGAAUAUACAUCCUGCCCCGUUGAAAUGGGCUUGGCCGUAUGACACGCUUUCACCAAUGGAAUGAGAGCAGAUGUGGUGUAAACCAUGUCUGGAAGAGUUAACAGACUUCGUCAUUUUCCUUCAGCUCUCUCACUCUUUCCACCGCCAGACUGUACCAAGUAAUGACUACUCCUGAAGCCUGGGUUCCAGCAGGAGAAGACACAUGGAGUGGAGCUGGGCAGAUGUCCAGCAGCCAUAGCCAACUCAUAGCCAAAGACCACAUUAUGAUUUUCAAGACAGGGAAGACUUCCAGGGCAGUGGUGGAGAGAAGAGAGAAUUGGGGACCAUAUAAUCCCCUGGAGCCUGGGAUGGACAUUUGGGUAGAUACACGAGUUACAGAUGGCCUUCACGAUGUCUCCUGAGCACAGAAGUCUAGUGUCCAUGAUGUGUGGGGGUUCUAAAAGACUCAAAGUGAGUUCAAGAUUUUCCUCUCACCAUUAAAAGGAAAUGUUGCUGACUCUGUCUGUGAACGGUUCAAGGUGGUGGCACUGGCCUGGAGACUGAAAACGGCUUGCAGAAAAUUGAAACACACUCUGUAAUAAUAUAAACACAAACUGCAUAUACUCUAAGGCAUCUUUGAGUGAUUAUACCUGAAA
rnacentral:lncRNA from 1 species